rnacentral:rRNA from 1 species
UACGUAGGUGGCAAGCGUUUGUCCGGAAUUAUUGGGCGUAAAGCGCGCGCAGGCGGCCUCUUAAGUCUGAUGUGAAAGCCCCCGGCUCAACCGGGGAGGGCCAUUGGAAACUGGGAGGCUUGAGUAUAGGAGAGAAGAGUGGAAUUCCACGUGUAGCGGUGAAAUGCGUAGAGAUGUGGAGGAACACCAGUGGCGAAGGCGACUCUUUGGCCUAUAACUGACGCUGAGGCGCGAAAGCGUGGGGAGCAACAGG